rnacentral:rRNA from 1 species
UACGGAGGGUGCAAGCGUUAAUCGGAAUUACUGGGCGUAAAGCGCACGCAGGUGGCUGAGUCAGUCGGUUGUGAAAGCCCUGGGCUUAACCUGGGAAUUGCAGUCGAUACUACUCAGCUAGAGUAUGGGAGAGGGAAGCGGAAUUUCCGGUGUAGCGGUGAAAUGCGUAGAUAUCGGAAGGAACAUCAGUGGCGAAAGCGGCUUCCUGGACCAGUACCGACGUUCAGGCACGAAAGCGUGGGGAGCAAACAGG